GGUAGGACAACUCAGUGGUAGAGUGCGUGCUUAGCAUGCAUGCAGUCCUGGGUUCAAAUCCCCAGUGCCUCCA
rnacentral:tRNA from 1 species